rnacentral:lncRNA from 1 species
GUAGCUGAAGCAUGUCUUGAUGUAUCAUUUGCAAGAAAAUAGCACUGUGUAAAUUUGGUAUGUGUCUUGUCAUGUGUUGACGGCAUUUUCUCUAGCAAAGGCUGCUGGCUAAUUCCAGGUUUGUCAGUAUGUUACUAGUAUUUUCUUGUGUUUAAAUCUUGCGUGAGGCUGUUCAAAUAGUCUCUUGAAAGUUAUGUCCCCAGAGUUUCUCAUCUUAGCUUGUGGCAUUUGCAGCGCUAUCUCAUUUGCAUUGCUAAAAUACCCAUUUACAGUGCUCACAAAUUGAAACACAACAUCAAAAAAUUUAGUACAAUGACUGGUAUGCGCUAUUGUUCGAGAUAGCCGCAUUAUGUUACUACGAGUCUGGCUGCUGAAUGUAAUGUUGGCUUUCGUGUAAGUGUUUGGGUUGAAAUUACGUCAAUGCGAGAUGAACUGGGGAAGACGGUGGAAACAAAACUACGUGCAUCACUUAGUCUUAAAUUAUCACAUUUCAGUCUAUGAACACUGUAUCCAAUUUAACUGCAGAUUAAACCACACCAGGUGGUAAAAAUUAAUCCAGAAUUCUUAUAUACAGUAUGCCUGAUAAUUGUAUCCUAGUUUUGGCAUGCAAAUCUACAGAAUUUAUGUAAUUUUUAUAAAUUUAUAAGUUAUGUGCCAAUUGGUAAUUGUCAUGAGUAGUGGAAAAAAAAGCUAUUGCCUCUAUUUCUUGAUUUCUGAGGAUAGCAAAUGUGUGCCUUUUUUAACUAAACACCAAGCUUUUGGCUGCACCCACUGUAAUGCAGUUGCUACUGACACUUUGUUAACUGUGGUAUGAAAUUCCGGGAUGCUUGACGGCAUUUUUUUUUUUUUUUGGUGCAUCGACAGCAUGUGUGUGUCGCUUGACAACAAUUGAGUGGAAAAUGCUUGAUGCUAGUGUGUAUUAGCUUUUCCUCUAAAGGAGCAGCGAAUGUAAAAAGGAAAGGAGGCUGUCUCCCAUGCACUCUUACGUGCAUUUAAUUCAAGUGAGCUUGCUGAAGGGAAGUCGUACAUUUCUAUAGAUGUUGUGUGGUAAUACGUGCAUUUCAUACUCAAAUCACUGAAACCUUAUGUUUUUUCGAUCAACUACUUGUACCGUAUGUGCGUUUCUUUUGCGCAGCUGGAGUUGCACCUAAUGCCUUGUUUCCCGCUGCCGUGCCGCUGGUAGACUUCUCGGUGGACCGUCAGCGGCGCCGGCGUCCCUGCAUGAACCAGGAGGGCCGGUACCAGUGCUCUUUUUGUCAUUACCGCACCGACUACCAGACCAACUUGAUAGCGCACCAGCGGACGCACACGGGGGAGAGGCCAUUCCGCUGCAACUUCUGUGCCAAGGGUUUUGCCCAGAAGAGCAACCUGAAAUCUCACAUGAAGAGGCACAUGACCGACGCCGUUGCCCGGUGAAUUUGCCGACUCCGUGCUGGUUGGCUCUUGUGGGCACACCACUGAACACGCAGCUACGUCGAAAACUAUAAUUCCUUGCGCUUAGUACUAGUUGUGCUGCUUUGUCAUCUUAAGCAGUGUCGUUUUCUCAUUAAAAGGCACUGCUUUUACAUUGCCAUCCCUGGAUGCAUAGGUGCACGUAGUUCAAGCGUCUGCACGUAAAAGUUAAUUGCGCAGAAAAUGUGUCGAAGUGAUAAAGGAAAGAAAGACGUGUGUUGAAAAAUCGAGCAGGGUGAGUGGUCGCAUUGGAGCUGGCCAGCGAUUGUAGUUUAUUCAACAGUCCUUCAUGUCUCGACUUUCCAGCCAGAACAUUUUCUCUUCUGGGAGCAGCUGAGAUGUAACCAGUUGUGGCAAAAUUUGCUGUUAUAAAUUGACAAAGCUUGUUCAUCAUAACAAAUUUAUUUUUUUCCCUGAACUUAAGUUACAGCAUUCCGAUGUUUAGUCUUUUUGGCGCACAAGGUGCACAGCGGAACUGACCACACCUGGCAUUAUGCACAUUCUUUUAGCUGUGCUUGCCUGUCACUGUAAUAUUUGAAAGUGUAGUUAGCAUUUUUGCAGGUGGGAGAGCAGUUUAACGUGAAUGAGGUUAUCAAUCUUUAUCAAAACAUUUGUCAUUCCUGCCUUUCUGUAAAUAAAUUCUCUCUCUCUCCUAAUGAAGGAUCAAUAUUCAGCAUUUAAUGCCAGAUUUAAGUUGCAGUAGCUUGAAAUGCUAACUAAAUCCACACUGUUAAGAGUGAUCUAGAAGAGAAACUUCGGCUAGUUGAUGGUUCAUCAUUGUGAAGGAAAAACAGCGCUAAAAACGGAAGACGUCUAAGGAAGACACGACACAGGCGCUGUGUUAAGAGUGAAUAUUCCAGUAAAUAGGGACCGCUGAUCGAAAGUAAAAACUUUCUUUCGUGAUGGAAUGACAAAUUUUAAAUUAAUGCAGUAUUAAAGUUCAGAUAAGCAUUUCUGUAAAUCCUUAAGAACGCACAAACACGGACAGAAGAGAGGCACGACACACCUGCGCUUCUUGUGUCUAGUCAUGCCUCUCUUCUGUCUGUGUCUCAGUCGCACAACUUUGUGCAUUCUUAUGGCUAAACAACGGGCCCAAAUCGAACCUUAGUGUGAAUCCUUAGUUUUAGUGUUGCUACAAUAGUAUUUGCAAAUUUGAGAGUAGUCUCACUAAAUUUUAAAGAAUACCACGUGGAAGCACUGCUGUGGUUGUACAAUCGUAUGCAAAAAAUAAACAUUUGUGGCAUUCACUGAUCGCAAAUCCUAUUUUUUAGGUUACAUUAUUCAAAGACGUAAUUGUUGCUAGGUAAAGAUGUCAAACAACCAAACUUGAGGAUGCUUGAUUCCUCCAACAAUAACUCAGUGAAAUGAACAUUACUUGUUUCCAAAUGUAUUUUUCUCAGUGGUGUUAUAUGAUCAAAAAAGUUGCCUGAGCCUAUGGAAACUUUGAACCGUACUGCUCAAGAACAAAUCCUUGUAAGCAUGAGAAAUCUUGCCGAGAUAGGCUUUGAAAAGACGAGCGAUGCAUGAAUUUCUAGCCCCAGUGCUCAUAAUGAAUGUAUGUAAUGCAUAAAAAUACCGGUUAUGUUAAUUUGUGUCGAUAAAAAGUAGCCGUGCUACUGAAAAUGGAAUAUGCCUGGUUCAUGAUACCUAGUUAUUUUGAAGCACCUUGCAUCAUUUGUAAAUAUUCCAAGUCAGCUUUCACUCUUUAAUCAGUUUCCAUGUGUGAAUUGUGCACAUCUGGCAUUGAUGCUAAAUUUAAUUGCAGUGCCAUUAAAUCAUGUUGUUUGCUUGGCAUGGGUAUUGAUACAGCAGACUUCACUUAUUGAAGGCACGUAAAGGUGUCUUGUUUAUCGAAAGUUUAGUUCAAGUGAAGAACACAAAAUCGACAGUUUUAUUCGAAAAGCAUUCGAGUGUGUUGAUAACGCUAUAGCGGAAAAAAAAAACAAUCUAAUAUCACAGCUUUUCUUUUUUGCACAAUGUUGUGUUUGGGCACAAAUUCCUGAUAAAUCUAAGCAGCCUUCACAUUCAGAACAAUACUUUCGACUUUUAUUUCCUCCUGUUUCCUUCUGGUCCAAAAAAGAAAUGCUUGCUGAAACGGUUGUGUUUACGUAUUUGUCAUUGGAAUCGUAGUUUUUGUCACGAACUGCGCCGAUAAUAUGUUCAAGUUUCUAGGUAUCGUUCGAGGUCUUGUUCCUCGUGACGUGAACGUAGCGGUAGUGCCGGCUUUAUCUGCAGAAUCCUACCUGCUCUACAAGUAGGAUCUUCUUUUUAUUGGUGAUCAUUACUGGUCUAUCAAUUUUGUCAUGAUGGAACUGCCAUUUCAACGUCAGAAAUGUUUUAGUAUUUGCAUCGGGUAAACUUCCCGCAAUAGCCAGAUGGAAUGUGUUUCCUUUAUUAUUGAUAGUAUAUCACCGUUCCACCAAUUUGUCUUGCUUUUCUUGUUCCUUACACCACUGAGGUACGUCGUAGUUACGAUUAAAUUUCUAUCUGACUGGAUUUGUCAAAAAGACUGGUUCUAUUUGACCAAAGUUUGGCCUGUUCACAAUAAAGAUACCACCGUUCCAUUUUUGUGCCAUUUUCAUAUUAGGGAUUUUUUAUCCAAAGUUCUCAUUUGCAUCUUUCACUAGCUGUCGCGGUUUCAGAUGUACACUUGUAUUUUCUGCAGCUUUAAUGUUUGGUCGGGAAUUGGCAAACGGGAGGUAGUUUCAACAACUCAAAAACUAGGAAUGUUCGACCAAAUGAUCCUGCUAUGAUAUAUGCAAUCGUAACAUAUUUAUAGUUAUACCCGUGUUGUAUAUUGUGAGUAAUGUAUUUUUUUUUCCUGUUUGUAUUUAUUCUGGCAUAUAAGCGCUAUGUGUGUAUUUCGAACAAUUAAGGUGCGUUUGCUGGCACACGUUGAACGUUUUGUCGGAAAAUGUGACAUUUACGAGUUGCAGGUCAGUGUCGUUGGUGCUUGAAUUUUUUUUUUGUCUGCUCAACGAUUUCAUUGAUCUAAAUUUGUGAACAAGGAAUGUUGUGUUUCGUUUGCUAACAGUGUUCUUUCCUUGUUGCCUUCUGAUUUUUUUUUUCAGUUUCGUUUCGUCAUUUUCGCUUUACACCUGUGAGGAAAAACGUAGUAAUAAGUGCAUGCAGCAACCCAACAGGGGCUGUGCCAUGGGGUGAGGGGAGGGGUAGCGGAGGGUAGCCGCUCCCCCGAAUUUCGAACCAGCUUCCCCGGUGAAAAUACCUUGCUCUGCCCCGACAACGUAAUAAAGCCAAGGCUCGACUUCAUUGCCCGUUGGCUUCAUUGCGCUUCAAUUGACUAUAAGCCUUGCCUCUCGGCUCCCUCAAUUCUUUCUGCUUAGAGCAUAGAUGAAUGUGUUAAGAUACUUUACAAAGUCACUGUGUGAACGUUAAUCCUAUGAUGUUUCUAUGUUUGUUUUUUUAAGUGUUUUGUACUUCUUUCACUACAAUAACCUAUAAUGUAUCUCGUUGCUAAAGUGUGACACAGGUCUAAAUUCUCAUAGUUUUCUUGGUGUCCACAUUGCGUUAUCUGAGAUGUGGCAGCCUGUGGCAGUCACAUUUUGCUUUUGAUUGGAAAGAACACUGCGGAUUCUGUGAUCACAAUGUGUUUGUCGUAACAGGUUGUGUGAAGGUUCUAUGAAUUUUCCAGCGUGCAUGGUGUUUACAUACGUCAAUUUUUUUGCGUAGGGUUUAAAAAGACAUGGUAGGUUUUCCUUGCAGAACUUCUCAUUCAUUUUGUUGACGAAAAUACUUGCUUUAAUCUUCUUAAGCUUUCCUUUCAAAUACUGUGGGUGCUACUAAUGUCAGUCUGAUGUAGGCCUACAUUUACAGCAUAUAUUUAUUGUGGAAGAAAUGUAUGCAAAACUGUGAUAUGGAGUCUUUGCAUGCAUUCAAGUGAAAUGUAAAUCUGUUUGAAUUAUUAUACUUCUAAGUGGUCACGAGAAGGUGUCACUGAAAUCUCUUGACAUUACAGCAGGUGUAGUUAAAGGGAUACUGAACAAAAAUUGAAAAAAGUGGCGAAAACAUCAAGAUUUCACUUGGAAGACGUGACUGCUUCGAUAAACAGAGUUUAUUUCCUAUAUUUUUGAACAGGUGGCUGUAUUUUUGGUGGAUUGUCAGUGCGCGGUAGCUGCACGCGAGUGCAAUCCAUUGCUUCACAUUUACCCAGGCGCAUGCAGGGUGCACGUGUUCCUGUCCUCUCCUUCCCUUUCUCCACCUUUCAUCCCACUCUCCCCCUUCCACAAAAACGUUGAUGCUGUACCCCAGCCGGGAACAUUGUUCGCUGCCACUGCUGUUUGUAGUGGUUCUGGGAACGGUAGUGGUAUAUAGUGGGAGCUGAGCAGGUUGAGAGACGCAGGCAACGACUGGCAUUGUUGGCAUGCCCGUUUCCGGUGUAUGAAACGUCACCUUCUCUAUUUCACAGCGCGGCCGCUAGACGCGGCAGUUUGUGAAAAAUGUAUCAAAUUCCUUAUUUUCCUCUAGUUUCUGCCUGAAAUGAAGGUUGUGUCUAUCGAUUUCAGCACGUGAUCUUUCAGCUUGGCUGAAAAUCUUGGCAGCAAAAAUUUUGUUCAGCAUCCAGUGGGAAUCUCGAGGUGACCUCACCACCUGUCCUUCAUAUUUGCAUCGGCAAAUACAUCCCUUGUUUGUCAACAAGCCUCUGUUAAUGACAAGAAUGACCUAGUUGCAGCUUUAGAAGCACAGCACGACAGCCUUGGCUAACUUAGUGAGUUAUACUUCUAGGGUCUCUUUGAUAAUCUCCUUGUUUAUGACUGACCAAUGCAUUGAGCUGUCUGUUGUGGUUAACUGUCUUCUCAUAUAUGUCACAAUGGGAUGCCUCAAAGAGUGUGAUUGUGUGCAGUUAUUUUGUGUGUAAUCUCAUUCCUGCUGAAAGAUAUGUCUAGCUCAACUUUGCAAACAUAUUGUGUGCAUGCUGUUCUUGACAGCACUUGAGUGCAUUUUCGCUGAAUGCAACAACACAUUGUUGAUUCUACGAAAUGUCUUGCAACUUUUUGUACAGCUUGAAAAAUAUACAGAACAUUUAAACGUCUCGUCCUUGUCUGUUUUGUACUAUUGCGCUUGAAAGCUGCACAUUUCGUAUAAGGUAACAGAGGAUACUAGCUUGCAAAAUUGCAGAAAGUCUUCAAACUAGCUCUUAUUGAUUAGCAGCCAUAACAUGCAGCAAGGCACGUUUAUUUGAGCCAUGCCACACAAGAUAUCACUAUGUAUGUGGCUGUUCACGGCUCUGUCGCUGUAUCUAAAUGAUGCAUUAUUGUUGAAUUGUAUGCAUACCAGUUAAAAUUAUUGGCUGUGGUGAAACUGGUGGAUGUACAAGAUGCGUGUGUUUUUAUCAAAAGAACGAUUUUAAGACGUGCUAUCAAAAGAACGAUUUUAAGACAUGCUUACUGUUCAAAGACUGAUACAUAACUGAAAAAACAACUUGCAGCGGGGGACUCUAAGGAGAAGCACCUCAUAAAUUAUGUGCUAUUUGUUAACUUCUCUGAUUGUUACCGGAUUUCAUUUAAAAGGCCUUGUGUAGACAAGCUGCAGAGUAAGAUUCAAAGAAAUAUUAAAAUGAUGCCAUCACAGGUACAUACGUAGAGCACACACACACACAUUGAGUUAGGUGAACACCUAGGGCAAGUUUUGAAGAGCUACUUGGUCAAAAUUGUUGUUCGGCCAUCUGCAAAAAAACAAAACAGUAAUAUGGUAGCCCGCUUGUUGCCUACUAUGUGUGCUACCGCAGCCCUUCCUUUAUAAACAUGCACUUAUUCUCAUUUCUCAUAUUUCCAUUUCUUCCUGAUUUAGCUGCAUUAUUUGUGUUUUGAUUAAUUGUGUGUGCUUAAAAGUGCGGGAAAGAAAAAGAGAAGUCAUUAUUAAUGAUGUAAAAAUUUAUGAAUUCACUGAAAAGAAAUAGGUAUUGGUACUGUCUCAAGGGACUUUUGCGUUGCGAGCAUGCUUGGUCAGAGUGAAGCACUGAAUUUGCUAGGUUGAGGUGCGUAGCUCACGUAGUUCUUACGUGCGCUCAUAAUUGUUAUGCUUAGUGGAGGUGCGUCUAUUUUUUUAUGAUUCUUAUCAUUGUGGCAAAGAUUGUGAUCUUUCAGCUUGAUAGGACAUCGUGUGACAUUGCCGGCAGAGUGACAUUGAAGGACGGCCUUGUACAGAGAGCCCCCUUUGUGAAAGGACCAUGAAAAAAUAUGGUCAGGAGAAAAUGCAGCAGACGCAGCUAGGGAAGUGAACGAACACUGACUGUGACCUGAUAACCUUAACCUGUGCCACUGGACAUGCUGUAUAUCAGGACAUCUCGCGUGUUUUCGUAAGCGUGAUUACUUGCACUUUUCACCUGUUUCAUUUCUUAUCAUAAGAUAGGCAGCUUCUUGUGUUGCUGUCGUACAAAGGAGCAACCUUUUCUUCCUAGUUCAAGGACUGAUGUGUGUUUGCAGUAAUCAGAAACUGUAACCUACUGUAAUUGUGGUGAUGUGCUACAUUCACACUUUCGAAUCCAGAUGUCAGGUCUCAUUUUAUUGUUGGCUCACAUCGCAAAUUUCCUGCUAUAUACUGUUAAAAAAGAACCACCCAUAAACCGUUAUGGGUCGCGACAGCUGUAUUUUUAAAAGUUAAUAUUUAUAAUGUGUACUAUAGUGAUUGAAAGAAACACGAACGAUGUGGCAUCUACAUUCUCUGCUGUUUCACAUUUAUUUUCAAGCGGUUGUUGCCUAGAUAGUAAUAAAAAGCCAAUGAGUCAUCCAUGGUACAACCAAGAACCACUCUAACAUCAUUUUAUUGCCACCAAGGUCAGAGCACGAUGAGAACAGUGCACCGCACUGUUCGCAUUUCUUUCAAUCCCCCCUGUACCUUAUCAGAUAUGCAGACUCCUGCGCCUUGUUAGAAAAUAUGCACUAAAGUAUCAUGCCGCUUGGUAGCGAUAAUAAAUCUAUACCAUACUGUAUAAUAUUUUCACGGCUAAACUGUCACCAGCCAAAGUUUAAAAUAGUCCUGAGAAGUGCGACCAUGUAAACAGUUUCAGUGACACUUCCUUGAUCAACACCAAGAUAAACCUGACAAAGUGUCUUCUCCUCGAGUCAUGGCAUAAUCAAGACACUCCUGGCAACAUCAGCCACUUGUUUGGGCUGCUGUCACUGUGUAAACCCACGGCCAUUGCAGCGUGAUGGAGAGGAGGAACCAGCAGCAAAAUGAAAAAUACUCUGCUUCUUUGAACACUUCACUCAUCGCCUGAGAAAGGGACCGAACUGGUCCAAAAACGACAGGGCAACCUUAAAUUUUGGCUGGCGUCAGUGUCGCCUGAAGAAUCUUCUAUCCAGCCAGACAUAUUUUUGUCAAGAAUGUUCACAUUUACUAUUUCAUAUGUAUACCACUUGUCUGCCGUAUGUUAAGCAUAGUGUGUGUAACAUAUCUGUGGCCGCAUGCAAGUUGUGGCCAUUUGUGAUGUUUGGCAAUGCGAAAUCUGCCCACUUUGUGAAGAGUGUAUGAACUAAUGUUGACAUUACUGCAGCUAAUUAUUCGCUAUGCAGUAGAACUCUCGUGGCAUCUCUGACACUCCUGACAUUUGUCAGCCAAACAGUUCUCUUUUUUUUUCUUUUUCUUUAAGAAUGGCUGCCUUGUAGCAUAGUAAGAAAAUAAAAAACUUGUUCUUGCACUGAAGUACAUACCAGUAGAAGUUUCAUCUCGCACUUUGAAGUUCAGUAAGGCUGAAAGUCCUAUUUUUUUUAAACACAAACACACAGCAUGUGCUUUAUUUUUAAGCAUGUAAGAAGCAUUGCUUGCUGGUCGUUUCUUGGCAAUUUAUCAGUGUUACCAUCAACAAUGUGUUAUAUUAAUGUUCUAUUAAUUUUCUAUUAAUGUUCUGUUAAUUUUACCAUCAAUAUUGUGUUCUACAGUGAAAUGGCAACAGUCAUCAUUUAAAUACCUUAUCAUUGCCAGGCUGGCAGGCAAUGCUGUAUAACCCAGUUGUAUUGUUAGCUUUCAGGAGCACUUUUGUAGGCUGAAGAUGCUUGACUUCUGCAAUUUGUAAUUCUGUCCGAAUAAACUGUUUUCAGCGAUAAAGACCAAAAGCUUGCUGCCGUUUGUUUUUGUACAGGCAUUAGUACUAUACAUUUCUCAUACACGGUUGGCACAAGCAUCUCACGUUUUAAAUGAGGAGACGGCUGGACACUUUCAGAACAGUACACAUGCAUGUGUGUUAUGUGGUACACACUGACUUCCAGUGUAUUUACAUUGAAAGCACGAACAGGGACCAAGUAGUUUAAUUACUGUAGAUAUGCGAGCCUAGGCUGACCUCAAUUCUAGGCUAACCUCCAGAUUUGGAAAGUCUCGAAACAUUAAAAAAGCUUUCUUUAAAUGCAAGUUGACCAUGACAAUAGUAAAAUGACCGCAGGCUCUAAAAAGCGAAUGAUGUUUGUUGCCUAUUUCCAACUCCAGUAGUAACUACACCACUUGCUCGUAUCCAGCAUCUCACCAGAAGUGAACUUUGAAGGACCAAUACUGUGCCUGCUCUGUAUGUAUUUGUCGUAGUUAAAAUAGUGUACCUGUAGAGUAUUCUCUAGUAUUGUGUGGUGGUAAUUUGAGUGGUGGUUGCCCUGUCUCAGCAGGGCAGCCAUUACAAACCAUUGUGGCAGGUCCGAUCGCACUUUAGCACAUUAGUGAAUCUAUGAGCAGUUAAUUAGUCUAAAAUUUGGAGAAGGCAGUUAUGAAGAUUUUCAGUGUAACAUGACGUGUCCACUGAACCAAGAUGCAGGUGCAAGAAAACUUCAUGCAAAAUAAACAUUGUAACACAUUUAAUGGCAUAUUAAAUAAAUGUUUUGGCUGCUUGA